rnacentral:rRNA from 1 species
CCUACGGGUGGCUGCAGUAGGGGAUAUUGCACAAUGGGGGAAACCCUGAUGCAGCGACGCCGCGUGUGGGAAGACGGUCCUCUGGAUUGUAAACCACUGUCCUCAGGGACGAAGAUGACGGUACCUGGGGAGGAAGCUCCGGCUAACUACGUGCCAGCAGCCGCGGUAAUACGACGGGGGCGAGCGUUGUCGGGACUUACUGGGGGAAAAGGGAGCGUAGGCGGGACUGCAAGUUGGGUGUCAAAUCUACCGGCUCAACCGGUAACCGCACUCGAAACUGAAGGUCUUGAGUGAAGUAGAGGCGGGCGGAAUUCCGAGUGUAGCGGUGAAAUGCGUAGAUAUUAGGAGGAACACCAGUGGCGAAGGCGGCCUUCUGGUCUUUUACUGACGCUGAGGCUCGAAAGUGUGGGGAGCAAACAGGAUUAGAUACCCGUGUAGUC